GCUUUUGCGCAGUGGCGGUACCAUAGCCAAUGAGGUUUUACCGAGGCGUGGUUAUUGCUAGUUGAAAACUAAUCCCAAUGAUAACUUGGGACUAAGAUAAUAGUAUUCUAUUGAGAGAUAAAUUUUUAGCGUCCAUCAAUUG